rnacentral:rRNA from 1 species
GACGAACGCUGGCGGCGUGCCUAAUACAUGCAAGUAGAACGCUGAAGAGAGGAGCUUGCUCUUCUUGGAUGAGUGGCGAACGGGUGAGUAACGCGUAGGUAACCUGCCUUGUAGCGGGGGAUAACUAUUGGAAACGAUAGCUAAUACCGCAUAACAAUAGGUGACACAUGUCAUUUAUUUGAAAGGGGCAAUUGCUCCACUACAAGAUGGACCUGCGUUGUAUUAGCUAGUAGGUGAGGUAACGGCUCACCUAGGCGACGAUACAUAGCCGACCUGAGAGGGUGAUCGGCCACACUGGGACUGAGACACGGCCCAGACUCCUACGGGAGGCAGCAGUAGGGAAUCUUCGGCAAUGGGGGCAACCCUGACCGAGCAACGCCGCGUGAGUGAAGAAGGUUUUCGGAUCGUAAAGCUCUGUUGUAAGUCAAGAACGAGUGUGAGAGUGGAAAGUUCACACUGUGACGGUAGCUUACCAGAAAGGGACGGCUAACUACGUG